GUCCUUGGACCUGAGGAAUCACAUAAAUUGCCAUGCUAUGUGCCAGUAAAGCCAGUUCGGUUUUGACCCUCAACUUGCAGCCUCGACUCAUGUUGUAGGGAUCCGGGAUAUUGAUGCUUACUUCGUGUUUGGGAAUAUUCUACACUUGCAGCUUACCACCGAAAGACCUCCGUUCGACUCUCUGCAGCGGGAACCAGGACAUCCAAGCGAUCAACCCUCCUGCUAGACCGGGGGCAAUCGUAACACCAUCAUAGAAGAGCCAUUUAGUAGGGUGGCCAUAAAUAUGGUAGUCAUAGAUAUAGUAGGACCCUCAUCCUCUUUUCCCGGGUGGGGUUCCCACAGGAGAUAAUCUCAGAUAGGGGUACGCAAUUCACAGCCGAAGUAACCCACCAACUCUGGAAAAUAUGUGGCAUUAAGCCUAUUGUGACUUCUGCUUACCAUCCUCAAU